UCUCUAUCUAUUACUAUUUCCUAUUUCCCCACCGUCCAGAGCUCCUCCCUGCCAUGCCAAAUCUCCUAAUCUUUUACCCCCUGGCCGGAGAUCCUCCUGGACUAAUCCACCCGCAUGGGUUAGCAGGGAGCUUGCGGCGGCCGGCAUCAAGCAGAGGAUGGAGAGGAUGGAGAGAUGUGCGCUGCGGCCUACUGUUGAGAUGCGAGCCCUGCAGGCGGCCGAUGAUGUAUGGCACGGGGCGGCAGGAGGUAGGCGGCGCUUCUUGGGUGACGAGGUAGAGGCGGCGGGGAACAUCGGCUGGCAUGGAGGUCGGCCGGGGCUUGGCCCGUACUAGCUGCUGUCGAGGUGUUGCCGGUGUGGUCGCGGACAUCUGCGUCGAGCUGCGUUCGCCGCAGGAGCCGAAGGGAGUACUGCCGAAGGAGAGCAGCAGGGGAGGGGCUGCGCGGUCGAGGAGGUUUGUGAUUCACUAGCUGUAAGGAUUUCUGAAAUUUGGUUUGGCAUGCUUUCUUCAAUGGUAGUAGCGCUGUCCGUCAUGGUCUUUUCUCCCUCUUUGCCGGCCACCUCGAGGUGCUGAUGCUCGCCGCUGUCGUCACUUGAGGGACAACUGCCUUUCGUCCUCUCUGUCAGGAUACGGCUGGUGCCAGUAUGUGUUCGCAACUUCGCAUACGAGCGUGGGCGUCGAUGGAAGGUAGGAGGCCAGCCCCGACACCUAUGUUUCUUCCAUAUGCCAUGCGGGCUGUUCCCCGUUCGGUCCGGGUGGAGUGGGUGCUGAUGUGGGCUAGGACGGGCACGGCGAAGCGCUCGAUCGCGGAUAGAAGAGGCCAAGGUGAACGCCGUGAUGUGACAAAUGGCCUGGCUACUUCUCUUGAUUUACCCGACAUCCAGUUUUUUUUAUGUAGUAUAUCUAUAAUUUUGACAACAACUGCUGGGCUGCUAUCAGAGGAUUCAGAACAUGAAGAAGGCAGAGGUUCAUGUUGAUUAACCUGACAAGACGAUCAAUUACUACUUUCAAUUCCGAAGUGGUGUGCAUAUAUUACAGAGUUGUACAAUACUGAAUUUUGGAACUUGUCUUCAUGUUACAAUCACUUGGCCAAUGACAUGUGGAAUGAGCGAUAGUUUUGAGCUUCUUUACUUUUGAGUGCCAACAUUAGUAGGGGGGCUAAUCCAGCCAAAGGAUCAGCAGAAUAGGUUGUCUAAUUCAUGAACAUUUAUCAGAGAGUGUUAAGAAUGAGAAAUGUAUGCUGGAGUCAGCAGAAACCACAGAUUGUUAUGGAAGCAAAGAGGUAGUCAAAGAACUAGGGUCUGGACGAAGCUGAGAUCUUGCAACAGUUUUGUCGGAGGAGUUGACUGAAACAAACAUGAAUAUAGUAUUUGAAACAGCCAAAGUUGAAUUCUUGGGGAAAUUUGUUUGAUCACGGGAAGGAAUGAGGAUGGUGAUGAAGCUUGCAAUACACGCUGCCCCUCCUCCAGCUUCCCCAGGGCAUAUUUUGUGCAGAAAUGAUCUGACGGCUUGGUUGACUUCUUCGCUUUAUAGUGCUGGUUUAUAAUUACACAUUUUGUAAUAACAAUGUCAGAGCAAAGCGAGCGCAGUGUGCAGUUUGUGAAGAAACUAUGAUCUUCAUGCACAGCGUAGUCCUGUGCAAAAUUAACUAAGUGGGGAGAGAGUAACAAGGCAGGCAACAGAUGCCUUGGCUAGCCACCCAAGAAAUCAUGGGGACAUUGUCACAAAAGAUUGUACUCUUCUGUUUUCAUAUAUGAAGCUCUCUUUCACCUUAAGAAGUGUUGUUUUGAUAUACGAAGCUCUCUUUCACCUUAAAAAAUGUAUUAUUUAGUCCAAUCAAGGUAGAAUCUGGAAUCUGUGUAACCUACAA